AAACAGUACUUUAUUUUGCAAAUUUUGACCCAUUAUUACUCCCAUGUUGUUUUUUUUCAGCUGUCAAGUGUACAAGGUGAAGAGAAAUUUCAGUUAGACAGGGGCUGCACCUGGAAAAUAAAUUUCUUAAACUCCAUAAACACAUUUCAAAACUGCUGGGUCCCAAAAGUCCAUCUAUGAACUCUAGGGCUGCCAGUAUCAUGUGCAGCACAUUAAAGCUACACUAUCCAAAUAGCUUAUUAAUUCUGCAUAAAUCAGGUCAAGCAAUGUGUCAACCUGUAACAGACUGUGCACUUUAACUGAACAUGGCAAAAUAUUCACUCUUUCGAACUUUACAUCAUCAUUUGAUGUCAAACAAUGAAGCAAAUCCCAACAGUAUAUACAAAAAACAGCUUUGCAUUUACAAAAGAUUGUUUCCCAUACUGAUUAAUCCAGGCAGCUAACUCAUUGGUUUAUGCAACUUUAUUGAAGAAAAAUAAAUCAAUUACUAGCAGAGCUAUUAGUUGAUCACUCAUCCAUUGACAACUUGCAUCAUUUAUUCAGUGCUAUAUUAAACAGUGUAUUGGAAGAUAGAUUAACUAAUAGCUCCAAGCCUCCUAACAAUUUAAAUGAAAAUUACAAAAUGUUUGAGACCCUAUUUUGGAAUACAAAGGGUGUUUGACUUCCAAUUUCCAUUCUCUGUAGAACAAGAACAGUUAGAGUGAAGACAUUGGCCACAUAAUACACAUGCUCCAUUUUUUUUUUUAAAAAUUCUGAGUCUUGGGCAACUGUUCUCUUGUAACUACUUUACAGUUUCUAAAAGCAGUUAUUGUCCAAAGCUGGAAGAACUUAAGUCUUCUCAGAUGAGCAUGUGAAUGAAUGGAGGGAGGUAA
rnacentral:lncRNA from 1 species